AGUUAAUGAGCUUGUAAAGCCUAUACCUUGAAAGUAUACAAAAGAAACAAUAUUAUUUCUAUUAACUU
rnacentral:tRNA from 1 species